GGAAGUAAAAGUCGUAAUAAGGUUUCCGUAGGUGAACCUGCGGAAGGAUCAUUAUUGUAUAACCGAGGUGCGAGGGCUGUCGCUGACCCGAAAGGUCGUGCACGCCCGAGUGCCCUCACACACAUCCAUCUCACCCCUAUGUGCACCACCGCGUGGGUCCCCCUUUGGCUUGUUCGGAGGGGGGGCUUACGUUUUCACACAAACUUUGUAUGCAGUGUAGAAUGUAUUUUUUGUUUUGCGAUCACGCAAUCAAUACAACUUUCAACAACGGAUCUCUUGGCUCUC
rnacentral:misc_RNA from 1 species